rnacentral:lncRNA from 1 species
CCUGGGUACAGGUGCAAGGCACAAGGCCAGAGUCAAACUCUUUCAUCUGUGGGACCCCAGGCAAUCUGCCACCCCUCCCCAUCCCGCAGAGCCUGUAACCACCACCCACCUCGGAGGGCUGGCAAGGAGCGAUGCAAUGUUUGUGGAGUGUUUAACUCAGGCCAACCCCUGGACCUCAGUGGUGCCCAGCACUCUAGUUUACAAAGCACAGCGUAGAGCCUGGAGCCUUGAGGAGACCUGGGAAGCAACCUGGAUGGAGGCUCGCUGCAGACUCACACAUGCCUGGCCUGGCCUAGUGUCCUGCUCUCACAGGAAGCCAAGAAACCCACUCGUGAAGAGGAAGGCCCCACCACGGCUGUGGGUGGCAUGCACAUGUGGACCUAAAGGACUCAUCUCUCCCAGCAGCGUCACCCCAGAGACCAAGCUGUCAGCACGUGAGCCUUAGGUGACGUUCAACAUCUAGAGGGAGCAGAGCUGGGUGACUUCCCAGAGAGACUCGGCAGCUGAGAGGACACAAGACCGCAAACAGAUGACCCAAGGGGCAGAGUCCUGGUCAGUGUUUCCUGCAGUUGUCUUAGGAACCCAAGAAGAGAGUCUGCCUGAGAAAGAAAAGCUGACAUUAAAGCCGUAAAACUGGGUAUGAAUGAACAAUGGUGGUAUCAAGCUGUGCCUGAGCGGCUGUGGCUGGCUUUCAGGACUGUGAGACAUUAAAUAUCUCUCGUGAGUUGAGCA